rnacentral:rRNA from 1 species
UACGUAGGGGGCAAGCGUUGUCCGGAAUCAUUGGGCGUAAAGGGCGCGUAGGCGGAUUCUUAAGUCUGGUGUGAAAUAUAGGGGCUCAACCCCUAGACUGCAUCGGAAACUGGGGAUCUUGAGGACAGGAGAGGAAAGUGGAAUUCCACGUGUAGCGGUGAAAUGCGUAGAGAUGUGGAGGAACACCAGUGGCGAAGGCGACUUUCUGGACUGUAACUGACGCUGAGGCGCGAAAGCGUGGGGAGCAAAC